rnacentral:rRNA from 1 species
UACGGAGGAUCCGAGCGUUAUCCGGAUUUAUUGGGUUUAAAGGGUCCGUAGGCGGGUCUUUUAAGUCAGUGGUGAAAGCCUGCAGCUUAACUGCGGAAAUGCCAUUGAUACUGGAGGCCUUGAGUGUAGUAGAAGUAGGCGGAAUAGGGCAUGUAGCGGUGAAAUGCAUAGAUAUGCCCUAGAACACCGAUUGCGAAGGCAGCUUACUAUGUUACAACUGACGCUGAGGGACGAAAGCGUGGGGAGCAAACAGG